rnacentral:rRNA from 1 species
GCCCAGACUCCUACGGGAGGCAGCAGUGGGGAAUAUUGCACAAUGGGGGAAACCCUGAUGCAGCGACGCCGCGUGAGCGAUGAAGUAUUUCGGUAUGUAAAGCUCUAUCAGCAGGGAAGAAAAUGACGGUACCUGACUAAGAAGCCCCGGCUAACUACGUGCCAGCAGCCGCGGUAAUACGUAGGGGGCAAGCGUUAUCCGGAUUUACUGGGUGUAAAGGGAGCGUAGACGGCAAUGCAAGCCAGAUGUGAAAGCCCGGGGCUCAACCCCGGGACUGCAUUUGGAACUGUGUAGCUGGAGUGUCGGAGAGGCAGGCGGAAUUCCUAGUGUAGCGGUGAAAUGCGUAGAUAUUAGGAGGAACACCAGUGGCGAAGGCGGCCUGCUGGACGACAACUGACGGUGAGGCGCGAAAGCGUGGGGAGCAAACAGGAUUAGAUACCCUAGUAC